AUACGCGGGCUGUCCGGGUGUAUAAAAAGCAUCUGAAGAAAGGGCCGGGCAAGACCGGUGCCAGCCGCCGCGGUAAUACCGGCGGCUCGAGUGGUGACCACUUUUAUUGGGCUUAAAGCGUUCGUAGCUGGACUCUUAAGUCUCUUGGGAAAUCCCGCGGCUCAACCGUGGGGCGUUUAAGAGAUACUGGGAGUCUAGGAACCGGGAGAGGUAAGAGGUACUUCGGGGGUAGAAGUGAAAUUCUGUAAUCCUCGAGGGACCACCGAUGGCGAAGGCAUCUUACCAGAACGGCUUCGACAGUGAGGAACGAAAGCUGGGGGAGCGAACGGGAUUAGAUACCCCGGUAGUCCCAGCCGUAAACGAUGCGCGUUAGGUGUACUGGUGACCACGAGUCACUGGGGUGCCGAAGGGAAACCGUGAAACAGUGCCGCCUGGGAAUACGUCGCCAGCU
rnacentral:rRNA from 1 species